AAACAAUACGAUAAUAAUACAAGAAGCUAAGGCACAGAGAUGACUUUAAAAAAGAACAAAUAAAUGAUAAAUAUAAAUAUAAAUAUAAAUAAACCAACCCAAAAAAAAAGUCCAACAGGCAAUUAAAUAAAUUUCUAAAUGUAUUUCAAUGUGUGGCGGCAGAUGCUAACGGCAGAAUUUACAAAGUCAUAACAAAUGGUACUGCAGAUCCAAACUACAAUACAAAUUAACAGAUGAAGAUGAAAAUGAAGUGUUAUGAAACUUCAUGCAGACAAAUAUUGUAAAAGCAGCCCCAGAAGCUCUAUUUCAAAUGCGACAAAAAUAAAUAUAAU
rnacentral:lncRNA from 1 species